GCUGACUGGGGUUUCUGCCUCCCUUAGUAAUCAUGGAUUGGUGCUGUCAGUGCCUGAUGGAUGAAGGGGACGGAUCAGAAUGGACUGGAGGGGAUUGGAUCUGCCUUGCAAAUCAUGAGGGAAUCCCAGGGAAAGAAAACACUCCUCGGACUGAUAGUGAGGUGAUUGUCUCUACAUACAGAUGAGAUACAUGAGACACUGAGAAAUGGAUACCACUGAGGUCAUGGCCAGGAGGUGGCAGUGCAAAGAUUCCUACCCAAGCUUCCUCAUCUGUGAACAGAACAGGAAGGCCUCGGUAAAUAGGUACAUGUUGACAAGCAACAACCUACUCAAAACUCAUCUUUUUGUAUUAAUGCAUCAUGUGACUCCCUCGUUUGGACUUCUGCAGGAACAUGUCAGAGACGGGGUCUUGCUAUGUUGCCCAGAAUGGAAUGCAGUGUCUCUUCACCGGCACCAUCCUGGCAUGCUAUAGCCUCAAACUCCUGGGCUCAAGCAUCAUCCUGCCUCAGCCUCCCAAUUAGCUGGGACUACAGGUGUGCAUCACUGUGCAGAGCUAAUAAUGUCCUUUCUGUAUGAAUUAUCGAGACUCAAGAAAGCACUUUGAUAGGGGAAGUGAAUACACUGGGGACAAUUAGUGGGUGGAUGUGUCUGAAGUGAGAGUAAGGCUCUCUUCAGCUGCAGCAUGAAAAUAAGGUGACCAGUUGAGGUCCUGGUUUUCCAGCUGAGCUCUCAAUCUCGUCUCACAAGACUGAUAAAAACGAUAUCUUUAGUUUUCCAGGACUGGCUAGAAACAAUGCAGGGAUAUUAUCAACAUCUCGUUAUUUUGUUCUCAUAAUUAUUUGAUUAAUGAUAAUGACUCAGCUGCUUUGUAAUACUAUGUAUGUCUUUUAUUAGCCUUAUAACUUCCCUUAACAGUAUAGGGACCUUGAUUUCUUAGUUUUGCCAAGAGAGCAAUAAACUCACAGUCAAGUUACUUUUUUAGAAUGUGUAUAGUUCCCAGGUGAAGGGAAUUUCAGUUCACUUAGAUAUCCUUUAAUUUUCACAUUCAUUCCAGCCUCAUUUCUACUCUGCAUAUGUCUCCAGUAUAUUUUUGCUCAUGACACAGAAAUAUCAGUUCCAUUCUUUGCUGGAAUUAACAAACAGCAAAAUAUCUCACCUGCUGGACAGAAUGCAUUGAUCUGCUAUUUUCUAUCUGUCCUAGAACCUCUUGUAGCACCAUUGUUUAACACAUUCUUGGAUUCAUAUUUAGAGCAUCAGGCUAAUUCAUGUUUGCUGAUUUGCAUAUGAAGGCUAGAUGUUAAAGUAGAAUUUAAAAUAUUUGGUUAUAUCUACUGUUUUUACCCUCUCUAAUUUAGUAGAACGUUUCUGGAUGUCAUAUUGUGUGGUUUAGUUAACUAUUAUGCACCAAUUAUACUAAUGUUUAAAUAAUAGUUUAACAUAUUUUUAACAAUGUUUAACUUAUUAUUUGUAGUAUAUAACCAGGAGAAAGUCUUCAGUUAUACAGUAAUUUAUCUUUCUUUCAUAAAGCUAAAAAGAUGUUAAUUUGCAUGAUUUUAGCUGAGUUUUCAGUGUGGACUUUGCUUCUGAAUUGUGUCCAAGGCUCUGAGUCGGUUUUAAGACCUUACAUCUGCAUGGUGCUUUGCCGUUUAAGAAGGAAUUCCACAUUAAUCUUCAGCUCUGAUUAUUCAAGUUCAUCCCGGUUCCUGUUACAGUCACUGCUUGAAUAAAUGAAUGAACCAAAACCAGAAUUGACUUUGGUUUUCCUAACAUUGUGAGUUUGUUGGAACAGAUAUCAUUAUUAUGGAAUAAUGUGAUUUUGUAAUAUUAUAUAAUAUAAUUAUUGUAUUUUUCAGAUAAAACAGCUGCUAAAAUUUAUUUGUACAGCUGACCUUGGAAUAACACAGGUCUUAACUGCAUGGAUCUAUGUAUGCAUGGAUUUUUUUUUCAAUAAAAUUACACUAACUGUGCCUGCCUCUCCCGCUUCCCCUUCCACCUCCUUCAUCCUUUCUUCCUCUGUCACCUCUGAGAUAACAAGGCCAACCCCUCCCCUUUCUCUUUCUCUUCAUUUGAAGACAAGGAAGUUGAAGACUUUUAUGAGGAUCUGCUUUCACUUAAUGAAUAGUAAAUAUAUUUUCUCUUCCUUUUGAUUUUCUUAAUGACGUUUUCUUUUUUCUAGCUUACUUGAUGGUAAGAUAAAGUCUAUAAUACAUAUAACAUACAAGAUCUAUGUUAAUCGACUGUUUUUGUUAUUCCCAAAGCUUCUGGUCAACAGUAAGCUAUUAGUAGUUAAGUUUUGGGGGAGUCAAAAAGUUACACAUGGAUUUUCUACUGUGCGGGGUUCGGCACCCCUAAUUCUUGCAUUGUUCAAGAAUCAGUUGUAUUACACUUUCUAGUUACAAUGCAUUUAACAUCUUGUGCUAUUUAAAACAACCCUGUCAGGCAGGAGGAGAAAAAUGAUUAUCUCUGUCUAGCAGAUAAGAAAAGUGAAAUUCAAAGGUCAAUGACCAUCUCCAAAUCACAGUGCAACAGCAUUGCUAAGACCUGAAUUCAGUCUGUUUCAUCAUAGUUCGCUGCUCUUUUAAAAAUUCCACCGUGCCUCUUAGGGCAUAUUAAUCACCAUGUGUGGGAGUGGGUGGGGGCUGUCAGAGGGGCAGCAUCUGGAGUUUUACCUGGUCAGGACAGAAGUCCUCCUCCCUGCUGGAAUGAUGAGCCUCUGUGCUUUGUUCCUUCUCUGCAGUGUGGCCAAAGUGAUGGGCUUUUACAAAAGGGCACCAUGGGGCAUUUUCGGGGUAGCUUGGGAUGGUGAUUGGGAGUAGCUCACAUGACACAUGUUAGGAUGUUGCCAAACUCAUUUUGGCAAGGCUAUUUGAUAGUAAAAGGAUAUAACGCUAGCAGCCUCUGUUGUCCAACACCAGGGAGAUAAUUCUUCUGUUCUUAUCCAGCAUGGUGCCAAGCUCUACGGGAACAAAAUGGAAGAAGGAGGAGGCAGAAAACGAAGCCCUCAGGUCCCUUAGGUUCAGGAAUGCACAUAAUUAAUGCCUUCCUUGACCCUUAGGAAAGCCAGAGCGCUAAGCAUUGGGAAUAUUUUACAUUAAC
rnacentral:lncRNA from 10 species